GCAGCCGCGGGUAGCGGAGGCAGCCCGGAGCCCCGCACGGCCCCGCUGCGCCUCGCCUCGCCUCGCCCGCGCCUCAGCCCGCCCUGCGCCCCCCGCAGCCCCCCCCGCCCGGAGCCUUCCCCGCCGCAGGUCGCGCGGCGCUGCGAGCGCCCCCCAGGUAGCCACAGCGCUCAGCCAUGACGGACACGGUGGUUGGCAACAGUACUGGCCAGUGGAGGUACCAGAAUGAGAGGCAGAUGGCCCAUCGGACCGGUGGAAAAGAACAG